rnacentral:lncRNA from 1 species
CCCCAGCAGCAGGACUCUGUAUUGGGAGCAGAGACAGUCGGUCUCCCUCCCCCACGGCUGGAAGUAUGUAUGGGAGAGGAGCUUGUUACCCCCUCUCCCCAGCGGCAGCUUAAUGUACCAGGGGGAGACAGUAAGCCCCACAACUGUGCAGAUGGGACCGUGGUCUCUGCACAUACAGCACAGGGGGUAGGGACGGUCGGUUCUGCCCCCCAGCGACAGGGCUGUUUAGCCAAAGGGGAGACAGUCGGUCUCCAGCAGCAGAGCUGUGUGUCCAAAGGGGAGACAGUCGGUCUCCAGC